rnacentral:rRNA from 1 species
UACGUAGGGUGCAAGCGUUGUCCGGAAUUAUUGGGCGUAAAGAGCUCGUGGGCGGUUUGUCGCGUCGAAUGUGAAAACCCGGGGCUCAACCCCGGGCCUGCAUUCGAUACGGGCAGACUAGAGUUCGGUAGGGGAGUCUGGAAUUCCUGGUGUAGCGGUGAAAUGCGUAGAUAUCAGGAGGAACACCGGUGGCGAAGGCGGAUCUCUGGGCCUUACCUGACGCUCAGGCGCGAAAGCUAGGGGAGCGAACAGG